AAUAAGUGCAGUUUUACACUAUUCAUCUUCAACAUUUGACCGUUUGUCUUUUGUGAAAAAAUUUUAUGAUUACUAUUUUUAUUGUUAUUAGAUGAUAAAAUAUGAAUAGUACUUUAUGUGUGACUAUUUUUAAAAAAAAGUCAUAAAUUUUUCAAAUAAGACGGAUGAUCAAACGUUGGACACAAAUUUCCACGGCUGCACUUAUU
rnacentral:pre_miRNA from 1 species